GCUCUUGUAGUGUAGUGGUUAUCACGCAUCCUUUACACGGAUGAGGUCUCCGGUUCGAUCCCGGACAAGAGCA
rnacentral:tRNA from 2 species